rnacentral:lncRNA from 1 species
AUAAGUUUCUUCACCAACCACUUUAACAGCUACACCAUCUGCGAAACCCCCAACUUGGUCCAGCAUUACCCUUUGACCAUGCUGUAAUGAUAAUGCCAUUGCAUUUGCAUCAAGUGGCUCAACUCCAAUAAUUUUUAUAUCAGGGGCAACCCUUUUCAAAUAGGCAGCAAUACCAGCUAUAAGACCCCCUCCCCCAACAGGCACAAAGACUGCAUGAAUGUUUUCUUUAAGCUGUCGAUUUAUCUCCAUUCCAACUGUACCUUGUCCUAUGAUGACAUCAGGGUGAUCAAAAGGAGGGAUGAAUGUACGGCCUUCAGCUUCGGCCCGCGCUUUUGCGUAUGCUUGAGCUUCAUCAUAUGCGUCUCCCACUAGGACAACAGUAGCACCCAAUCUCU